rnacentral:lncRNA from 1 species
AUGGCUGAAGAGUCUAAUUAAAUUGUGACUCUGGUGACGAGUUCUACCAGGAAUGGAACUUUGAAGGAGAGUCCCACUAGGACUAGGACUCUAUUAUUAUGGAGAAUUAAUUAGUAAUUAGAUUACUAAUUAACUCAAUUUGAUUGAGUAAAAAGUUUUGGAUCAAAUUUAAUUAAAUUAGAUUCAGUUCGACUCAGAUUGGAUU